rnacentral:rRNA from 1 species
AUGAACGCUGGCGGCGUGCCUAAUACAUGCAAGUCGAGCGAACAGACGAGGAGCUUGCUCCUUCGACGUUAGCGGCGGACGGGUGAGUAACACGUAGGUAACCUACCUAUAAGACUGGGAUAACUUCGGGAAACCGGAGCUAAUACCGGAUAAUAUUUCGAACCGCAUGGUUCGAUAGUGAAAGAUGGCUUUGCUAUCACUUAUAGAUGGACCUGCGCCGUAUUAGCUAGUUGGUAAGGUAACGGCUUACCAAGGCAACGAUACGUAGCCGACCUGAGAGGGUGAUCGGCCACACUGGAAAUGAGACACGGUCCAGAAUACUAAGGGAGGCAGCAGUAGGGAAUCUUCCGCAAUGGGAGAAAGCCUGACGGAGCAACGCCGCGUGAGUGAUGAAGGUCUUCGGAUCGUAAAACUCUGUUAUUAGGGAAGAACAAACGUGUAAGUAACUGUGCACGUCUUGACGGUACCUAAUCAGAAAGCCACGGCUAACUACGUG